AUGCCCAUUUCAUUCUUGGGAAUGUUCUUUACCCAGAGGAAGCUGAGCUCCGGGAGUAAUGUCAGUAGAAACAGGCUUGAGGAUGAGGUCUUCCGUGCAGGGCGGAUAAAAGCAGGAGGCAGGCAGGCCAAACACAUUUCUUUGAUAACCGCCCACAGCCAGCUCAGCAUCCGGAGGGUGGUUCCAUAAACACCACUGACUGACAACAGCCAGGAUUCACUUCUUCCUCCACUCUGCCCACACCCUCUUUCCAUAAGAUAUUCCACUAUAUAAAUGUGUGUUGUCAUUUUGGCCAAAGUGAUGUCUUUUUUUUUUUUUUUUUUUUUAACAUUUAUUUAUUAUUGAGAGAAAGACACAGAGCAUGAGCAGGGGAGGGGUAGAGAGAUGGGGAGACACAGAAUCCGAAGCAGGCUCCAGGCUCCGAGCUGAAAGCACAGAGCCCGACGCGGGGCUCGAACUCAUGAACCGUGAGAUCAUGAUCCGAGCCGAAGUCAGACGCUCAACCGAUUGAGCCACCCAGGCACCCCAACGAAAGUGGGUGUGGAGACAAGAAGCUUUAAGCGACAGCUACAGGAGCAGCAAACAAAGAUUUUGUGAACUGCGAUUAAAACCUGGGUUAUGCAGUGUGAUAGCAAUUUGAGCAGCACUAUCUAGUCUAACAAUCAGCACAAGAUCUGCCAUUUUAAUCCAGCGGCUCCAGACAGGAGUAGACCGAAUAUCAACCAGCUCCUGACAAGUCACCAAAGAUGGCCUUGUAAGGUGUCUUCACCCUGGGAUUUCAGGCUAAAUUCCCACAGUUUCUUCAACUGAAGGCACUGCCUUAAUUCCCAUCCCACAAAUCGACCGUGUCUCACCGUGUUCGCACCUUGCCCCUUCCCCACAUUUCCUAGAAAGGUGGAAAAGACGUCAAACGUGAUUUCUACCUAUGGGUCCAGAAGAUGCAAUCAAAUGUCAAAGACACCUGGGUCACGGACGUGUAGCCAGGAGCGUGUUUUUCCCUAAACACAACUGAACUGCUCCCCCCCCCCCCACGCCCACCCCCCAGCUUUCUGUCCGGUCAGCGCUCUUGGGCCUUAGGUAUUCCUCUCUUAUCUGAAGGGAUUCUUCAAUGGCCCUUACACCCGGGAGCGCUGGGGCCUGCUGCCUCCAGCCACCUCUUGAACACAGUCAAGUGGGCAUGAACACCACUAAUACAGGAAACUGCACCGUGUCCAACCAGCAGCUACAGAAAACCAACAAUGGGUAACAUCUCCGAAGAGGGAACUGCCUGGAUUCCGUUUCUGAAAUUGGACAAAUUUAGUUUUUAAAUACCUCCUAGGGUCACCACUUCUUGAUCAUUCCACUCAUCGGGACCAUCUUUUCUCGCCGCACAUAACCUUUGCUUAAGGGCUCACCGUGGCUCCCUUUGGAAGCGUCUUAACUGUAUAUACGUCUCUACCAUUCUACCUUAUUAGGGUGAUCCUGUAACUGCUUUUAUAAUCUAGAAACCGUCUUUGGAUAAUUAUAAACACCUUAACUAAUUCAAAUCACGUUCGUACUUUUGACCUAGUUAUUUCUGUGAAUUUAUCCCAAGGAAAUAAGGUUUUACUGUCAUGGUGUCUAAAGUAUCAAAGAAUUAGACAUAAUUAAC